rnacentral:rRNA from 1 species
UACGGGGGGAGCAAGCGUUGUUCGGAUUUACUGGGCGUAAAGGGCGCGUAGGCGGCGCAACAAGUCACUUGUGAAAUCUCCGGGCUUAACCCGGAGCGGCCAAGUGAUACUGUCGUGCUAGAGUGCGGAAGGGGCUACUGGAAUUCUCGGUGUAGCGGUGAAAUGCGUAGAUAUCGGGAGGAACACCAGUGGCGAAGGCGACUACCUGGGCUGUUCUUGACGCUGAGGCGCGAAAGCUAGGGGAGCAAACGGG